rnacentral:rRNA from 1 species
UACAGAGGCCCCAAGCGUUACUGAGACUCACUGGGUUUAAAGGGUGCGUAGGUGGCGCGUUAAGUCCGUUGUGAAAGCCCUGGGCUCAACCCAGGAACUGCUUCGGAUACUGGCGCGCUUGAGGCUAGUAGGGGUCACUGGAACUGACGGUGGAGCGGUGAAAUGCGUAGAUAUCGUCAGGAACGCCAACGGUGAAGACAGGUGACUGGGCUAGUUCUGACACUGAGGCACGAAAGCGUGGGGAGCGAACGGG